rnacentral:misc_RNA from 1 species
ACUUCCCGAGGAGCUGCC